GAGAAGACGAUCGAGAGUGUAGUUAUGAGUUCGAAGUUGAUCUACAGAGGACAAGAGGCGCAGCCGGCGAUGGACGGUUAUACGCCGAAGCCUCCGAAGCCAUGGUUGAAUGUGAUUCGCCCAGUUCGGUAUAU